CCUACGGGCGGCAGCAGUAGGGAAUCUUUCACAAUGGGCGAAAGCCUGAUGGAGCAACGCCGCGUGCAGGAUGAAGGCCUUCGGGUUGUAAACUGCUUUUAUAAGCGAGAAAUAUGAUGGUAACUUAUGAAUAAGGAUCGGCUAACUACGUGCCAGCAGCCGCGGUCAUACGUAGGAUCCGAGCAUUAUCCGGAGUGACUGGGUGUAAAGAGUUGCGUAGGUGGCAUAAUAAGUAGCUAGUGAAAUCUGGUGGCUCAACCAUUCAGACUAUUAGCUAAACUGUUAAGCUCGAGACCGUUAGGGGUAACUGGAAUGUCUAGUGUAGGAGUGAAAUCCGUAGAUAUUAGAAGGAAAACCAAUAGCGUAGGCAGGUUGCUGGGACGGUUCUGACACUAAGGCACGAAAGCGUAGGGAGCAAACGGGAUUAGAUACCCUUGUAGUC
rnacentral:rRNA from 1 species